AUUUUUGGCCGGUGCUAGCUUGUGUGUCUUGUGUCGGGCGAGGGAGAGGGACGAUGUGCAUACGGGGUUGCAGUGCAGAGGCGCCGGUGGUUUCAAGUUGCAGGGCCGGGAGGUGAGGGAGCACAAUGACAACAACACUACAUCUCCCUUCUCUCUGUUAUCUUGUACUGAAUUGUCCCCUCUUUGUUGCAGAAAUUUCACGGCAACCAGGAGUAACAAUAUUUUUGGUUACUUGGGAAUACGAUGAUGUUCUGGUGACGUGGAACAUGCUGAGAUUUGGACUUCAAUCCUUGAUUGUGCACGGGCAUGCAUGCUUCACACCCAUGCUGCAAACAGAUUUUCAUUUUCGAAGAAAGUAAUAAUACUAUAACUACAAAAUUCAUGUUGCAGAUUUAUGCUCCAUGUAGUAUACUCGCCCAUUAUAGCUUUAUUCAGUUCACCGUUUGCACCAUCAUGUUCUGGAGUUUGAAAUGUACUCCCUUUUUCUGUAGGGAUUUCCGAAAUGAGUAGAAGACUAAUAACUUCUACGACAUCAAAGAUCUCUGAGAUUUUAGAGUAUGCACCAUAUUGAUUUACUUAUCGAUUUAUUCACACGUAUAUUGAGUUCACGAUGGAAAUAUAUACGAGUAUUUUCAUUGUAUGGAAUUUUUUAAUUACUACCAGAUGGAAUUUGGGAAUUAGUCUUACAAAGCUUCCAAAAUCACUAAAGUUAUACAGCUACUACAGAACUGGUUAAAAUUAGUGAUGUUCUAUAAUAUCUACAUGACUGAUUACAACACUGCUCAUGUGAUUUGGUACUUUACUAUAUGGUAGCUUUUUUACCCCUGAGGCGAGCUAAUGAUUGGGAACUUAUAGUGCCAAACUGACCUGCAUAUUCUGUCAAACAUUUUGUUGCAGUAUUUAGGAUCAGCAUGGAAGCUGAAUUUGUCACCAGAUGUUGUUUAAUUGUGUGCUACUAAAUUCAUUGGUUGACAAGCCUUAAAACUAUCUGUAAUAGCAUACCUUGUUUUCAACAUCAUUGGCUUGUUUAGAAUGCUAAACUGAAGAACUGAAGUACUGAACAAAACAAUACAGAAGUCAGUAAAAGUGCUUAAGAGGAAUUUUUGGUCUGCAGUCUGUACUAAAAAACUCUUGUGGUCAUUCGUUUUGACCUGAUCCAAGGCAAGGCCUAUCAGUGUUAACUCCCAGGCUGUAAAAAUUGAAUUGAUGAUUGCAUACUCUCGUGUGGAUUUUUUAUGUGCAUGCAUGGUAACCAUUUAUUUGUGUCUUUCAUCAUCAGAUCAAACGGCAAGUUUAUUGUCUGAUUAAUUAGAGGUUUCUAUUUUGGAAUGAAAUUUUCUGAAUUUUUGCUAUCCCGCUGGUCCUUACUAAUUCAGUAUAUACUAGAAUUUGAAGUUGUGAUCAUCCAUUGUUCUACUAUGGAGACUAGGAUAAAUGAUUGCAGUUGCAGGGCCGCCGCCGUUGCUGAACACAAACGGGGCUCGGAGCAGGCCAAACUCCGAGGUGGACCAGGCAACGGAUCGUGGAGAGGCGCCCAAGGAUGUUUUUUUUUUGCUUCUGUUCAUUGUGCCAUCCAAUUGGUUUAGACUUUUCACCAUUGCUAAUUACUAGGGGAGUAUGGGUGCCAGAGCUAGUAAGUGGCCUGCACGCUACGCUCUUGCCAAAUAAUUUGCAACCAUGCUUGCACUGAAUUUUUAUUUGUUUCCCGAUGUACCUUACAACAACUUCGUGAUGUAGCACUACUUUGCACUAGCAUGCACCUGCAUAUAUAAUAUGGAAAAUGACUGUCAUUUAGAAUUACUUCCAAGCUACAUCGUCUAUCUGAAUGUCAGCCCGAAACCACUGGUUGGCACACAUAAAAUUUUGGAAGUUGUAUGUAGUCCUCCUUCUUUGAGCCAAAAUUUAUGUCUAUGAUUGAUGAAUCAAUAUAAUUUUUUUGUUCAAGUUGGAUCCAAUAGAACAUGGCUUUGGUGGUAGUCAGUACAUGUAGAAUUUCUAUCCUUCUAUAUGUGUACUGAAACUAUUUAAGGUCACUAUGUAGUAAAUUCAUCAUACUAUGUGUCCACGGAAACCACUUAAGGUCAAAAGUGACAAGUAGAACCACAUGCAUUGUUUUGGGUAGUCUAAAUUGACUCUAUUACUUUUAUCUCAUAAAUCUAUGAUCGGUGCUUUUUUACGUGGAAUAUAUUCUGGAGCGGUUGCUGGUGUUAGGGAUGCAUUUAUAUAUGGGAUAAUUGCAUUAGCUAUUUCAUACAAUUGGCAUGCAAGGAUUUUUCUUCUUUAGUAUAACUCUCUAUAUUUUUAUUGUUUCUUUUAUUGUUUCCAGAAUGCAUUUCCACAAUAGAGAUGGGAAAUGGGAUACAUCGUUGUCGUCCUUCAGUGAGCAGCCGAGGAGGAGCUCCUCCAUGCUGAUGAUGUGGAAGACAGAUACCCUGUCCGUGACGCCUGGUUCUGGCCUCAUAUACAUGUAAGUACCCGUUCGUUCAUUAAUAGACAGCAUAUAAGAAAGUGUGCCAUCUGAAUUUGGAUCAUGCCAUGCACAAGACUAUUCAGAUUGUUUUCUUGAGGAAAGUGAGUAUUCAAGUUGGUUAGAUAAAAGUGUAUCAUCAUUUUUUCAUGAAAAAUAAUUUCAUAAUACCAUAUUGCAGUGACUUCCUAUGUCAUCAGCAAAUGCAGUGGAGAAGAAGCCGGUUCACCACAUGAUCAUUUAAUCUGUUAUUGUUUUUUAACUAUUCCCUGUUGCAUGUAUAAUCAGAAAAAAUAAAACUCCUCCUUUCGGCCCAUACUAGGAGUCUGGAAGUGAUACUUUUGUGAGGAGUGCUGGAACAUGACUGGAUCAAGCGAGACAAAGAACAAUGGAUGAAAGAAAGAGAUCAGAAAAGGGAUUAACUCCUGACCACCUCAUACAUAUAUACAUGUGUAAGAGCUU
rnacentral:lncRNA from 1 species